rnacentral:rRNA from 1 species
UACGUAGGGGGCAAGCGUUGUUCGGAUUUACUGGGCGUAAAGGGCGCGUAGGCGGCAAUUCAAGUCAGCUGUGAAACCUCCGGGCUUAACUCGGAACGGUCAGCUGAUACUGCUUUGCUAGAGUGCAGAAGGGGCAAUCGGCAUCCUUGGUGUAGCGGUGAAAUGCGUAGAUAUCAAGAGGAACACCUGAGGUGAAGACGGGUUGCUGGGCUGACACUGACGCUGAGGCGCGAAAGCGUGGGGAGCAAACAGG